rnacentral:rRNA from 1 species
UACGAAGGGGGCUAGCGUUGUUCGGAUUUACUGGGCGUAAAGCGCACGUAGGCGGAUUGUUAAGUCGGGGGUGAAAUCCUGGAGCUCAACUUCAGAAUUGCCUUCGAUACUGGCUUUCUAGAGGCUGGAAGAGGUUAGUGGAAUCCCAGUGUAGAGGUGAAAUUCGUAGAUAUUGGGAAGAACACCAGUGGCGAAGGCGGCUAACUGGUCCAGAUCUGACGCUGAGGUGCGAAAGCGUGGGGAGCAAACAGG